rnacentral:rRNA from 1 species
CAGCACCUCAAGUGGUCAGGAUGAUUAUUGGGCCUAAAGCAUCCGUAGCCGGCUCUGUAAGUUUUCGGUUAAAUCUGUACGCUCAACGUACAGGCUGCCGGGAAUACUGCAGAGCUAGGGAGUGGGAGAGGUAGACGGUACUCGGUAGGAAGGGGUAAAAUCCUUUGAUCUAUUGAUGACCACCUGUGGCGAAGGCGGUCUACCAGAACACGUCCGACGGUGAGGGAUGAAAGCUGGGGGAGCAAACCGGAUUAGAUACCCGCGUAGUCC